rnacentral:rRNA from 1 species
UACGUAGGUGGCAAGCGUUGUCCGGAUUUACUGGGUGUAAAGGGCGUGUAGCCGGGCUGACAAGUCAGAUGUGAAAUCCGGGGGCUCAACCCCCGAACUGCAUUUGAAACUGUUGGUCUUGAGUAUCGGAGAGGCAGGCGGAAUUCCUAGUGUAGCGGUGAAAUGCGUAGAUAUUAGGAGGAACACCGGCGGCGAAGGCGGCCUGCUGGACCGUGACUGACGUUGAGGCUCGAAAGCGUGGGGAGCAAACAGG